UACGUAGGGGGCAAGCGUUAUCCGGAUUCACUGGGUGUAAAGGGAGCGCAGGCGGUACGGCGAGUCUGAUGUGAAAACCCGGGGCCCAACCCCGGGACCGCACCGGAUACUGCCGGACUCGAGUGCCGGAGGGGCAGGCGGAAUUCCUGGUGUAGCGGUGAAAUGCGCAGAUAUCAGGAGGAACACCGGUGGCGAAGGCGGCCUGCUGGACGGUAACUGACGUUGAGGCUCGAAAGCGUGGGGAGCAAACAGG
rnacentral:rRNA from 1 species